ensembl:lncRNA
CUGUUGCUAUUGCAGUGAGCGCCACUUAAAAUGUUGUGUGAUGCUAACAUCUCUGCAUGAGUGGUUUGUUUCUCCAGUAAAUUGUGUAUCACAGUAAAAAGUGAUCUCUUAUGAUUCUUGCAGGGUUUUCACCUUUUUUAGUGCAGGACCAUAAACUUAACAAACACCACGGGCCCCAUACAAAGUGCUGCUAGUGAUGCUGGAAAUACUCACAGGAAGCAGACAAAAGUCAUGGAAAAGUUGAAUUGCUUUAUCUGUGCUAUAUAGAUCAAGGUCUGCAGCUGUGGUUGCCCACCAUUUCAAGGUAAAUGAAUUUAGGGUAAAGGCUAUUGUAAAAAAAAAAGGAAAUUCAUGAAGGUAUUGCUGUAGCUAUGCCAGCAGACACAAAAUCCUUGCACUUUUUGCAAAAUACCUUUUUAGCUUGUAUUGAAAAUGCAGCUUUUAUGUGGGUUCAGGAUUGCUAUUAAAAAGGCAUACCUAUAGACUCUAAUAUGAUUUGAGAAAAAGUGGAGAAAAUAUAUGCCAACUUAAAGCAAAAGGAAUGUAAAGGAUCUAAACUAGAGACUUUAAUAUCAGAAGAAGAUAGUUUGAGUUACAGAGGUAUGGCUUAAAAAAUAUCAAGUAACAGGAGAAGCGGCUUCUGUUGACCAAGAGGCUGCAGACGAGUUACCAGAUGCCAUUAUGAAAAUCAUUAAGGAGAAAGGAUAUCUGCCUGAACAGGUUUUUAAUGCAGAUGAAACUGCCUUAUUCUGGCGGGCAAAAAAAUGCCAACAAGAACACUUAUUAGUAAGGAAUAGAAACAUGCACCAAGAUUUAAACAGGAAGAGAUAGGCUAACUACUGUUUUGUGAAAAUACAAUCAGUUUUAUCCAAGACAGCCCUUAGCUAUAAAGCUGCUAGUCCCUGGACCUUAAUAGAGAAAGAUAAGCACCAGCCGUCUGUCUUUUGGUUGUACAAGAAGGCCUAAACAAUGAGAACCUUUUUUUGGGAUUGAUCCUAACAAUGUUCUGUCUCUAAAGUCAGAAAGUACCUUACCAGAAAGGAACUGCUUUUUAAAGUUCUUUUGAUACUGGAAAAUCUCCCUGGCCGCCCAGAACCCCAUGAAUUCAACAUUGAAGGCAUCAAAGUGACCCACUUGCUCCCAAACACAUCUCUAACUCAGCCUCUAGAUCAAGGAGUUCUAGGGAGCUUUAAGGCUCAUUACACAUGGUACUCUACAGAAAGAAUUGUUAAUGCUAUGGCAAAGUACCCAGAUACAGAGAACAUCAUGAAAGUCUGAAAUGAUGACACUGUUGAAAUGAUUACAUCAUUGAAGAUGUCAUCAUAGUUAUAGAAAAGCCAUGAAAACCAUCAAGCCCAAAACUAUAAAUUCCUGUUGGAGUAAACGGUAUCCAGAUGUUGGCAUGAUUUCACAGAAUUUACAGGGAAAUCAUGAAAGAGAUCAUGGAUAUGGGAAAAAAAAAGUAGGGUGUGGUGGGGUGGGGUGGGUGAAGGGUUUCAAGAUUAGAUCUUGCAAAACUUCAAAAGCUGCUGGAUACCACACUAGAGGAAUUGACAGAAGAUGGCUUGACGGAGGCAAGUGCUUCUGAACCAGUUCUAGACGAGGAGGGAGAUGUAGAAGCAGCAGUGCCAGAAAGUAAAUUGACAUAGACAGUCCGGCAGAAGGGUUUCCAUCAUUGAAGACUGCUUUGACUUCUUUACAACACAGACCCUUUUAUGGAUAUGGACACUGGAGCAAAAGCAAAUGGUGGAGAAAGCAUUGAUAUCAUAUAGAAACAGUUUUUAGAAGUAUGAAAAAGCAAAAAAGUCAGAAGAUAUUAUUAUGUAUUUUGAUGUUAUACUGAAUGUGCUUGCCUUUCCUGCCUCCCUUUCCACCUCCUCCACCUCUGCCACCCCUGAGACAGCAAGACAAAGCUGUCCUCUUCCUCCUUGUCCUCAGCCUACUCAGUGUGACGAUGACAAGGAUGAAGACCUUUAUGAUGAUCCACCUCCACUUAAUGAAUAGUAAACAAUCGCUGUGCCAUAUGGUUACCAUACGAAAACCUAUCUGUUGUAUAUGUGUGUGUAUCGUUGUGUGAAAAUCUGAUAACUUCUACAAGAACUGUAUGAGAUGUUUUUGUGUCAUCAUGGUUCUCAUCACUGCCUAAGAAUUCAUGGUGUAGAACACUGUGUGCAAGACUUGUGUUGCAGUGGAUGGCAUAUCCUUCGAUGGGCAUAAGUCUACAGGGAACCACUGAAGGUUUGGAACAGGAAAUGUAUGCAGACAAAAGAAUUCAUCUGCUCAAUCCUUUAGCAGAGGCGAUGGCAAUAGGGCAACUGCUGGUAUGGUGUAUGUGGCUGCCCAGUAUAUUUUGAAGUAAGUGUUUUUGUCAAAAUAUAAUUAUAAAAUAGUGAUGAUAAUAAAGUGCAAGUCAAAAUGUUGCGGUGGGGAUUAAAUGAGUUAAUUUAAGAAAAAGACCGAGCACAUAGUAAGUGCUAUGUAAGUAAGUGUGUUACUGCCGUCACUAUUAUUACUUAUGACACUACCAGACCCCUGGGCUUUUUCAGGUCAAACUUACUCGGUGGGAAAAUGUCAGCUAGGACUAGAGACCCACCUGAGUGAUUUGCACUGGAGGAAAUCUCCAGUAUGUUUAGUUCAAAAAAAUGGAGGGAGGUAACCGCAGUGGUCAAAGCAACUGGGCAGAUAUGCCCUUGACCGAGGUUUCCAAGUCUCACUUUUAGAAUGCUAAAGGCUCACCCUACUCCUCAUCACUCCCUUCUCUUUAUUUCUGCCCUCCUCAAACUCCAGUACCUGUUUUCUCUACAUGAAAUCAGGUGUGUGUGUGUGUAUCCCCGCCAGAUUCUGGGUCUUAGGUUACCAUCUAGAGUCCCUACUUUUCCACUGAAGCCUUAUUGUUAUUUGGUAAUUUUUAAAUCUAGAGAGGAGUCUACCUUUGUGGGAGCAGAAGUUUGUUUGGUAGAUUCUUGCCUCUUAGGCAGGGAUGCCCUCAUUUUGUGGGGUAGAUAGGAUUACAGGAUGAAGAGAUCCCCAGCAAGGAUCCACACUUUCAGGGCAAGUCCUACCAUAUGACAAAUCUUAGCAAGUGUCUGGGUCUGGGAUGGUGGGCAGAAAUGUGCCCUCCAUUCUCUUGAGUUCUUCCCUUGGAAGUAGUCCAACUGCCCAGACUCAGAUGGGGUAGCAGUUGAUCAGUGAGGGUUAAAUGGUGGUUUGAUGCUCCAGAAGCUCCUUGGCUCUCUUCCACAUCUAAGUAAAGAGGAAGUUUUAGUCUUUACCCUAGAGUUUCAAGUGAGAGUCCUCACAUUCACUCUGAUUGGACUGGCUUAGAUCAAUCACUCCAAGUGGGAGAGAAAGAAUAUUCUGGCGGCUUGAGCAGAUUAGAGCAUACUCCUGGUUAUACUCCUACUUGUAGGGUAUCGUUAGGGAAGAGGAGUGGAGAGGAAUUUGGGGUGGCGAUAACUAACACUAGUCACAGCUAGGUUCAGUGUAGGUUAGCCUGGACUGGGACCUCCCUUAAGCCUCAGAAAUGAGUAAGACAGGGUCCCUGGCCUCAGGGAGCUUUGUCCAGUAACAGAGAUAGACAUAGAUAAUUUCUAAAGUGUGGUGAAUGCUUAUAUGAGAGAGAAUAUGACUAUUGCACAUGGAAAGAAGACUGAAUCCAGCUGGAAGUUCAGUGAGGCCUCCACAGAGGAAAAAUAACCAAGUGAUUUCUUGCAAGAUAAGCAGAGAUAAGCAUUUCACACUUGUCAAAUGAAGACAGAAGGCUGCUCUUAGAGAAGUGUUAGUUGCUCAGUUAUGUCCAACUCUUUGCGACCCCAUGGACUGUAGCCUGCCAGAGUCUUCUGUUCAUGGAAUUCUCUAGGCAAGAAUACUGAAGAGGGUUGCCAUUCCCAUCUCCAGGGGAUCUGCCCAACCCAGAGAUAGAAUCUGGGUCUCUUGCAUUGCAGAUGGAUUCUUUACUGUCUAAUCAAAGCUCUUACAGAAAGAAACAGAUAAAGAGCUAGAGGCAUGAAACAGUCAUUUAUUCAACGAGCACCACUGAACAUGGUAAAAGCUGAGGUCGACCGGAAGUCUGGAGUUAUUGGAGAUUAAUAUUUGAAGUGCCUGGAAAUUAAAAUUUGAAUUUUGAAGUUCUUGGAGAGUAAUAUUUGAAACGGUAGAUGAUGAGACAAACCUGGAAUUGAGACCAGGUCACAGAAAGCCCUCUGUGCAGAAAAGGAACCUGGGCUUAGUGAGAGAUGGAAUUUGAGUGUGGGCUGGUGUUAAAGAAUCUCACCAAUUAGUUUUAGCAAGUCUCUCCUUUCCUCAGUCUUACCAUAACUCACCAACUUAGAAAGUGCUCACAAAUUAUGAACUAUGUUUUGGCAUCUUUUUCUUUUUGUUAAUCAUUUAGCUCAAUCACCUAGUUUUUCUGAUGGCC